ensembl:miRNA cin-mir-4000e cin-mir-4000e
UGAAACUUCUUCGGAACAGGCCGGUUUAAAAUCUUAUCCUAUAUGGGCAAGGUUUCGAUUUCCCGGCCUCUCUCGGAGGUUUCA